ACCUUGGUCGCGAAUUAAACCGGGGCCUUAAAUGGGUUGGCCUUAGGGUUGGGGUUUCCCGUUGGUUGGUCCGGAAUUGGUUGAAAAUUGGUUCCACCUUGGCCUUCCAAACCGGGUUGGAAAAAGGAACUUUCCGAAAAACCUGGCCGGGUAACCUAGAAGUUGGCCAGGGGAAGAAGGGAAGAAGCCGGGAAAUUUCUUUGGUGUAGCGGUGGAAUGCGUUGAUAUCAAGAAGAACACCGGUGGCGAAGGCGGCUCUCUGGAAUGCAACUGACGCUGAGGCACGAAAGUUGGGGUAGCGAACAGGAUUAGAUACCCUGGUAGUCCCAACCGUAAACGUCGUGUACUUGGUGUGGGGAGAUUUCGACCCUUCCCGUGCCGGAGCUAACGCGUUAAGUACACCGCCUGGGGAGUACGGCCGCAAGGCUAAAACUCAAAGAAAUGACGGGGGCCCGCACAAGCGGAGGAGCAUGUGGCUCAAUUCCGAUGCAACGCGAAGAACCUUACCAGUGGUCUUUGAACAUUAUUUAGGCUGGCACGCACCCGGU
rnacentral:rRNA from 1 species